GGUGUCCUAUUUGGGUUUGGUUUUGACUUCUUAGUUAGUUUCCUUGGUGGAGAGAUUUUCUUAAUUACCUAUUAGAUUAGGAUUUGGAUUUAUUUCCUAUUAGGAUUCUUAUUGUAACCUGUUAAUGCACAUAAUCAGCGAGGACCUUGGUACAACAGAAAGUGUUAAGUUUGUGACCUUUGCUAGAUUGCUCCGGUCACUAGUGUGGAUAAGUAAGUAAACGGAUAGGGACAGGGAAGCAAACACAAGAUGUACGUGGUUCACCCAGAUUGGCUACGUCCACGGAGUAGAGGAGUUCUCAUUAAUUGUGAAAGGUUCACACAAGUACAUAGGUUCAAGCUCUCCU
rnacentral:lncRNA from 1 species